CCCCAUGUGUGCGCGCGCGCAUGCGGUGCCUAGGGUAGGUAGUAGAGUACUUCAUAUACCUGUACUAUUCAUGCUUCAACUUUGGGGUAGUUUUCAUGUGCAUACAACAUAUUGGACCUUGCAGGACCCUCUUGGCAUCCUGUUGCUGGAAAAAAACUACACAGCCGAAUCGUUUUUUUAUUUCUGAAACAAGAUUUCUAUUGCACAAGCCUUCUGAAACAGGAUAGUGUUUUCCAUUUCUUAAAGCUCAAAUCUUGUUGCGCAAAAUUGUAGAUCAAAAUUAGUGUCUGCAUGUCCUGGAUACCUAGCUAGCUAUGUUCCAGUUUGACAAUCAACUUUGUAGAUGCUCAGUUUGACAAAGUUUUUAUAAGAUGUUUAAUUUUUGGAUGGAACAAAAAAGGAAGCAUAGUUGAAAUGCAAUGCAAUCAGACUUGUAAAGGUCUUGCAUUGCACAAAAUGCUAAGGAUGAGGCCAGAAGAAGGUUCAAUGAAGUGAAAAAAUUACUCCUUACUUGGUCUGCAUGCAGUGAUCGACUACUGGUUUGCUUGUCAGGUUAGGCCAAAACAAAACGUUGUUGGUAAUUUUACGGUUUGUAACUGAUGCCCUUGCCACAAGAAAUUUAUUGAUGUCGCAAUUUUGUAGUCUAACCCUUCAGUCCUCAUAAGAAAUAAAAUAGACAUCUGAUUUGAACACUUGUACAUAUAUGUGUGCAAAACAGCUAAAUUAUGUACAGUAGGCCUCAAAAGAACAGUUACUUUUGCUGUUAAUUUGCAAGACAUUCUUAAUUUUGCCUCAAAAGAAUGACAAUUUUGUUACUCUCAGCAUUUAUUGUUGGUUACAAAUAGAGAAUUGGUAGUUGCUUAAAGAAAGACUAAAACCACAAGGUCACAUUUGAAGUUAUAGGUCGAUUUAGCGAGUCAUAAUAGACAAAAUAAUUUACUUAUCAUACUAAACUAUUGUGAUCUCGGUCCACACUUUUCGGAACCACUAUACUACCUAUUAGUUAAUUAGCAGCACGCUACUACCUAGAUGUAACUUUGUAGAUGCUUUUCUACUGUUAAUUGCAUCUUGCAUGAAUUUUUUGUUCUUCUUGCAGUUGUUCUGUUUCCCAUAGAAGCUGCAUCUUUCUAGAAGCUGCUACAUCAGAUUAAGUAAGUACACCCUGUUUGCCUAAAUUAUUGUUCAAGAGGCAGCUGAAACAAAAUUUCAUACACAGAAACAAUUAACAGGCAUUACCUUCAUUGUUAGCGUUGAUACUG
rnacentral:lncRNA from 1 species